CAUAACCAUCCUACUUUGAUGUUC
rnacentral:siRNA from 1 species